UGGGGAAUAUUGCACAAUGGGCGAAAGCCUGAUGCAGCAACGCCGCGUGAGCGAUGAAGGCCUUCGGGUCGUAAAGCUCUGUCCUCAAGGAAGAUAAUGACGGUACUUGAGGAGGAAGCCCCGGCUAACUACGUGCCAGCAGCCGCGGUAAUACGUAGGGGGCUAGCGUUAUCCGGAAUUACUGGGCGUAAAGGGUGCGUAGGUGGUUUCUUAAGUCAGAGGUGAAAGGCUACGGCUCAACCGUAGUAAGCCUUUGAAACUGGGAAACUUGAGUGCAGGAGAGGAGAGUGGAAUUCCUAGUGUAGCGGUGAAAUGCGUAGAUAUUAGGAAGAACACCAGUGGCGAAGGCGAUUCUCUAGACUGUAACUGACGCUGAGGCUCGAAAGCGUGGGGAGCAAACA
rnacentral:rRNA from 1 species